AGGUUGUUCGGUUUAGUUUCUUAACCUUCUUAUUUCGGUCGACGUAUAGUUUAGUUGGUUUAUGUGGUUCAGUAUUUAUUUACAUUUGAAAAUGUGGAUUUCUGGAUUUUAUAAAAUAAAGGUUUUCUACCUCUCGUGGUAGCGUUUUUAAAGAAUAAAGGUUCCUGUGUAGGGAACAGUUUUCAAAAGAUUUUCUAUGGAUUUAUGUUUAGACAUUGAAUACAAAUCUGUGAUGUGAAUGGUGAAUGUAUGAAUGUAUGGUGAUUUUAAUAUUCAUUUAGUUGUGGUUGUAUCCUGUUUGUACUGUUGUACUUGUGCGACGCCGUGCAAAUACAGGGGAGACUCUGUCCGUGUGAACAGUGGAUUCCCUGUAUUUGUGGCGGAUCUGGCAUACUCUGGGGUCAGGUUUUCAAAAAAAAAAAUUCAGACGCUUUUCCGCUUUGUUUUAAACUGAAAAGGGACCCCGGGGCGUGACAGAUUAAAGUGGUAUCAGAGCGAGGUUACAACCACAACACCAUUCACAGGUUGUUUUGAAAA
rnacentral:lncRNA from 1 species